rnacentral:lncRNA from 1 species
GAAUGAUGAAGACUCACAUCUAGUCUGUCUGCUAAACGGCUGAUCUACUAAGGGUGCUCUAGAGCUCGUACUUCUGAACCUACGGUAUAAAACACUAUAGUGCAAAUACGUCAGUAUGAUUGAAUAUAUUGGUAUGCAAGUGAGGUAGGCUGAAUGCAAGGGGUUUAUAUGCAUGAAUAGUACUAACUGACUGAAUAUCAUGAGCGUGAGAAUCCAUGCAUGAAUACGUGAACUUUGACUAAGAUCAUGACAUCACUGAAUCUGAAUACUAAUAACAUAAGUUUCGUAUAACUUAUCUACUAUUACUUGAAUGGUUGUUUCUAACAGUCCUUUUUCUGAUAGAACUAACUGAGUUUCGUACUAAAAUGGGUGACUGUAUCUGUCAGUCCUGGAUUUUGUAGAAUUAUUUGAGUUCUAUUACUGAGACUGAGACUGUAACUAUGGGAAUUAGUAAUCUAACUGACAUGCCCCAAAUAAGAUAAUAUAAUUGAGUUGGGGUCUAAUCUGUAACCCCAAUUAGAAGGGUGUCAAUAUCGCAUCACUGGUAAAGACAAGCUGUGAGUAAUCCCUCAUCUAACGAGUACUCUAAUGGGACCCUCAUAUAACAGGUUAAUCUACCUACAACUAGUAGGUUUGAUGUAUCAACUUAUGCUAACUAUGUAGUUCUGAAGUGCAAGGACUAUUUCUAAGAAUCACACCCUCUAAUAACAGGUGAGUUCCCAUCCUUGGACUCACUCAGUGCUGAAUCCUACUCCCAUCUGAAUAGACACUGAACAUGAUUAACUAAACUGUGCUGGACUACAUUCAUUUAGUUUCGUUGACUGACGGAACACUAUCGAGAUUACUGAAUUUCUGAGAUUACUGUGUUUACUAAGUUUUUCUGAGUAGCAUGACUGACUGAGUUCUAUGAAUCAUGGCUUAAAUGAGAGUAUCUGGAAAACAUGACACUGGCUCUAGGCAUAUAGCUAAAUUAUCGAGUAUAAGUACCCCCUGGACUUGAUAGUAUGAAACUGACAAGACAUGACACUUCUUAACACAUGACCAUAGUCAACAAUUCAUAGUACAAUCAUUGGGGAUUUUCAUGAAGUAUUUGCAUGCUAUAAACUUACGCAUAAAUAGAAAUACAUGUAAACAUAUCAUAAUUUCAUAAGCCUAAUCUCAUGACCAUUACUUCAAUCCAUUACAAAGCAUAACAAUAACGUGUGAGUCAUAGGAAGAGACAUGGAUUCAUUAAUUUUGGUCGCAAAUGAGUCAUAAGGCAUAAUUCCAAUUCUCUUAGGCAUUUUAUCAAACACCUUGCAUGCAUAUCUUUAGGCUUAGGCAUCAAUAUUGAAAUAAUACUUUAUGGCAACAUUUUACACUUUCAAUGCAAAAAUUUCAACCAUAUACUAACAUAUUUUCAUGAUAGUCAUUAAAGAUUUCAACUUGGAAAUCAAACAACAACAUAAAUAUGGAUAUGAUUCAAUUCAUACCAUAGAAUCCAAAAUUUAUAUUUCAAAUAGGGUUUCUUGAGCUUUGUGGGUGAAAGAAACCCAUGAAUCAACAAUUGACAUACCUGGGUGGAUGAUUUCUUGAAGAUUGGUAGAGUAAAGCUUGAAGUCUUGACUUGGGAUUAGACACCUAGGUUUUCUUGUUCUUGGGGAUUGAUCUUUGAGAGAAACCCUAAUUUGGUGUUGUAGUUGAAUAAUGAAGUUAUGAGGUCUGGUCUGGAAUAAUUAAGGGUUAAAACGAUUGGAAAAAGACCCAAAUACCCUUUUAAAAAUGGCUUAAAAUCAUUGAUCGAAAGUGGCGACAGUUUGGGCAACGGUCCAUCACUGGCUCGUCGAUCCAUCCCAUCGUACUUAGCCAAAACCUAAACUUCCUGCCUAGUCUAUGACGGUUUGGGCAACAGUCCACCGCUAGCUCGAUGGUCUGUCGGUAUUAACCAUCGCACUUGUCCAGAUGAUGGGUUCACUACCUUAGUCGCGAUGGCUUGGGCGACGAUCUGUCACUAGCUCGAUGGUCCGUCGGCCUGACCAUCGCUUCUGGGUGGUUUUCAUAGCUCUCUGUAAAAUGUCCAUAACUUUUUACUUCGAUACCGAAUUUAGACGAAAUUGGUAUCAUUGGAAAGCUAAUUCAAUUUUUCACAUGAUAAAAAGUCAAAAUUGGAAAAAUUCUAUCUGAUUUAAAUAUUAAUUAUUUAGGUAGUCAUCACUAACUCUUAUGGAAACAAGAUUUGACUUAAAGAAAGUUCGGGAUAUUACAAUAAGAAUGGGUAUUAAGAAAUUUUUCUAUCGACUUAGAAUCAAAUAAGUGCUCACAUGAUACCGUCAUUUGAAUUGUGACAUUCUACUUCUUCGAAUCAUGUUGAGAUAAUAGGUAUUCCUCAAGUAAGUAGAGAAUGUAUAUAGUUUGGAUUGUGAUACUUUUAAUCAAAGUAAGAUGAGUCUUGAAGUGUCAAGGUAUUAUCCACGGUCCUAAAUAAAUGUAUGCAAAGCCCAAUUAAAAGGAGUUUUCAUAAUUAAAAAAAAAAGAUAAAAUGAAAUAUAUUUUACCAAAAUUAUCCUUCCUACGUAAUCUCCAAAAGAAUGGUAAAUUAAGAAGAUGGUAUACAAGACUGAAAUAUAGGGACUUGGAUGAUUGAAUCUUGAUCUUCAUCAAAGGGAGUAAAAUGCUCAUUUUACUUUUUUCCCCUUUAUCAAGGUUUUCUUUCAAUGAAUUUUCUUAAUAAAGUUUUAAUGAAACAACUAGCAAAACAUAUUAUAAGAUAUGCAUACUUUUUCUCUUUACUAGAUUUUUUUCAAUGUAUUUUAUUUUAAUAAAUUUAACGAGACAUAUAAUCUAUUAGUGAACAUCGAAGGGGGAGUGUUGUGAAUACUCUUAAUUAUGAAUAUCCAUUUAUUAAUCACCACCACAGCUUACAAGCAAAUUACAAGUAGCUUUGCAAACAAGUUCUUACAAAUACUUCCUCAGUUUCAAAAUAAGUGGCACUUUUAACUCAUUUCACAUUCAUUAAAUAAAAUAAAUAAAAUAGAAGAAGUAGUUUACUAAGGUAUCCGCAUUUAUUAGUUACUGUAUCUUUAAAAUUGAAGACUAUUAAGAAAAAGCUCUUUAAUGCAAGAGUAUAGUUGUAAAAAUGUAUUAAUUUUUAUAUUGAAUCUAUUGUAUGGUAUGUGCUAGACUAUGAUGAAAGUGACACUUAUUUUAUAACAUUUUUUGGCUAAUGUGUCACUUAUUUUGAGAUUGAGAAAAUAACUUACAAGUAACUUUACAAACAGAUUUCUACAAGCAGCUUAAAGUCAUUUUGCAAGCAGAUUUCUAUAAGCAGCUUAAAAAUAGGUUUGCAAAUAGUGUCCUGCUUCUAUUAUUAUGUAAAUUGAAAGACAAUUCAAUUAAUUUGUAUGUCAGUUUCAGUAUUAAAAAAUAAUGUCUCUCUCGCUCUAAAUUUAUCUCUGUCUUUCAAAUGUAUUUACUUUAUAAUUUUUAUUUUAUAACAUAUUAAAUAUUUUUCUUAAAAUAUGAGUUACGUCUUUAAAAAAUUAUAAUAUGGACCAAAAAUACUACAACAAUUAGAGUAAAAAAGAUGAACUCGCAAUACAUUUGAAUUAAUGAGGGUCAAAGAUAAGUUCAUUAAGGGUUUCUUGGGAAAGGUAGAACUUCUUAGUUUUACAAAAUCAAAUAAAAUCUUACAACUUAUUUAAGAUUUCAUAAUUAACAUUAAAAUAUCAUAUACUCUAAUACUUAUUUUAACAUCAAGUCAAACAUAUUCUCUUAGAUUAAAUAAUUACUUGCAAUAUUUUUUUUUCUACUUUAUUUAAAAAUUAUACAAGCUAAUAGAUUUAAAUUAUAAAUAUUUAUUUAUUAACAUUUUAUAUAGAAUCAUACGAAGAAACAAAAGAUACUAAUUAAUACAUAAAUUGAUUUUAAAUCCAUUUAGAUUCGUUUAUGGUUGUUUAACAAACAAAAAUAAGGACCUACUGGAUGAACAUUUUAAUAAAUCAUAAUGUUAAAGGAUUGCCUUUAUGUCUUGUCUUAUAUAAAUUAAAAAUAAGAGAUCAAUUUAAUAUAGUAAGUAAGAAAUUUCUUUUUAAAUAAGCUGUCUACAUGAUGAGACAAUUUACUACCUCAAAUAAAGAGAAGCAAAAGAAUUAACAAGCUUUAACAUGAUCUAUAUUUUAGUAAUUUAACAUGAGAUAGUUAAUAUUACAUUUUAAAUAAGUUGUUUAAAAUAAUUUUAAUAGGUGCUGAGUAAAUAAUUACGUUUUCAUAAAUUAAAUAUAGUGCAAAUCUUUGUAAUGAUAUGUAUCAUGUGAAGUUGUGAAAUUAUGGAGGAAUCGCUUAUUGUGUUUGAUAGAUAAACACCUAUUCAAAAUUAAUGAGUAUUUUUUAUUAUCUUACUAUAAUAUUUUAAUAGUUAUUUAUGCAAUUAAAUGUGUGGCCAAAAUUACUUUCACAUUUUUAUUUUUUUAUGAAACAUAUGUGAGUAUUUGCACACCCUUCUAUAAACUACGUCACCCAAUAUUUCAAUUUAUAUAACCUUGAGUAAACAUCGAAUUCAAGAUACGUGAAAAAACUUCACAAUAUUUAUUCUGUGAUUUUGGAUAAGAGGAGAGAAAGUUUGUCUAAAUAUCAAAAUUAAAAAAAAAAAUUAAAUGGAACAAACUUCAAAUAUAAUUUCUCUUUAAAUUUAAAAUUAUUCUUUUCAUUUGAUUCAAGUAUAUUAUUUAAAUAAAUAAGAAAAAAAGAAGGGAUAAUAGUUCAAAAAAUACCUGUCCUUUGAAUAAAUUUGUAGUUGCGCAUACUGAACUUUGCGGGGGUCCUAUGACACCCCUGAACUAUUUAAAACUGAAAUUAUAAGACCUCUAAAGGCUGACAUGGCAAAGAGAGUGUGUCUCACUUCUUUAAGAGAGUGAGCACCAAAAAAUUAUUGAAGCUUUAUUUUUAAUAUAUAUAUAUAUAUAUAUAUAUAUAUAUAUAUAUAUAUAUAUUAAGUUCUUUCUUCUUUCUUUCACCAUACCCAAAAUCUCUCCACCACCACCCACCAAUGCAGCAGUAGCCACCAGCGUCAUCUCCGCCAUUUGACCACUUCUUCACCUUCUUUCAUUUUCCUCCCAUAUAAAUCUUCAACCUUUUCUCUUUUUUCAUUGCCCAAUUUUUUUUAAAAUCUUGUCAAAAUUUUAAGAAUUAAGAAUCUAACAUCAAAAAAAUUAAGAAUCUUUAAAUUAUGAACUUCAUCUCACUUAUCACAAUGAUGAUAGUGUAAUUUUUGAAUCUUCAAAACCCACCAUCAAAUUCUAAAUUACACCACAAAAAUAUUACCUUCAUAAUUCAAAUUAUGAAUUUUAUCUCACCCACCAUCACCACCCCAUUAGCUGUCACUGCCACUGCCACCCCUACUCUCACCCUCUCUUAUCAAAUUUGGAGUGGAAUUAAGAAAUUAAAUCUAAUGAAGAAGAAAUUGAAUAGUAGAAAUCUCUAAAUUCAAGUCAAUCUUUGCUAGAUGUGUAUUGGUGAAUUUAUCAAAUUGUAAACAAAUUCUAUCAUUAUUGUACUUAUUCUUCUUGUACGAUCAUAAAUUCAACAUCAAUUUUUGUAGUUUAUAAAUUAAAAGGAAAGAAAAGAAACAAAAAAGAUUGGCAGGUGGAUAUUCACGUUUUGAUUUCUGAAAUUGAAGAAAAUGAUAGAAAGAGAAAGAAAAAAGAUUUAAUGAGUAUUUUCAUUUUGACUUUUGAGAUUAAAGAAAACAAGAUGAAGAGAAAGGGAGAAAAGAGUUUGAGAUUAAAGAAAAUAAGAUGAAGAGAAAGGGA